UACGGAGGGUGCGAGCGUUGUCCGGAAUCACUGGGCGUAAAGGGCGCGUAGGUGGCGCGGGCAGUCAACGGUGAAAGUUCGGGGCUCAACCCUGAAUCGGCCGUCGAUACUCCCGGGCUUGAGCACUGUAGAGGCAGAUGGAAUUCCGGGUGUAGCGGUGGAAUGCGUAGAGAUCCGGAAGAACACCGGUGGCGAAGGCGGUCUGCUGGGCAGUAGCUGACACUGAGGCGCGACAGCGUGGGGAGCGAACGGG
rnacentral:rRNA from 1 species